rnacentral:rRNA from 1 species
GACGAACGCUGGCGGCAUGCCUAACACAUGCAAGUCGAACGAGACCUUCGGGUCUAGUGGCGCUCGGGUGCGUAACGCGUGGGAACCUGCACUUAGGUUCGGUAUAACUCACCGAAGGGGGUGCUAAUACAGGAUAAUGUAUUAGGACAAACGAUUUUUGGCCUUUGGAUGGGCGCGCGUUGGCUUGGCUAGUUGGUAGUGUAAAAGCCUACCAAGGCGACGUUCCAUAGCUGGUCGGUGAGGAUGCUCAGCCAGACUUGGACUGCGGCACGGGCCACUCCCGUACGGGAGGCAGCAGUAUGGAAUACUAUGCGCGGAGCGAUAGCCUAGUACAGCAACGCCGCGUGUGUCAUGAAUGCCUUAGUGUUGUAAAUCUCUCUUUCCCGGAAUGAUAGUGACAGUACCGGGAGAAUAAGCUCCGGCUAACUCCGUG